rnacentral:rRNA from 1 species
UACGUAGGGUGCGAGCGUUGUCCGGAAUUAUUGGGCGUAAAGGGCUCGUAGGCGGUUUGUCGCGUCGGGAGUGAAAACCAGGUGCUUAACACCUGGCUUGCUUUCGAUACGGGCAGACUAGAGGUAUUCAGGGGAGAACGGAAUUCCUGGUGUAGCGGUGAAAUGCGCAGAUAUCAGGAGGAACACCGGUGGCGAAGGCGGUUCUCUGGGCCUUACCUGACGCUGAGGAGCGAAAGCAUGGGGAGCAAACAGG